CCAGAGACUUCUCAAAUGCUCCUCCUUCUCUUUACUUUCUCUCUCUACAAUCUCCAUGAUUUUUCGGUUUAAUCUCGAUGUUAACAUGGUAUCAGAGCAAGGACGACGAUCCGACUAUGUUUAUAUGUACUUCGUUGUCUUGGAUGAAGUCUGUUUCUAGAUUUUGGGGGUAUUUUCUGAGACCUCAUGGUCGAUGAAGAUUCCGACCUAUCGGACACCUUUCUGAAAUUUUUCAUCGUGAUUUCAUCUGUUUCGAGAUUUUGGGGGUGUUUUCUGAGACCUAACGGUUGAUGAAGAUUCCAACUCAUCGGACACCUUUCUGAGUUUUUCAUCGUGAUAUCGGAGUGUAUUUUCUUCAUUCCAACAUUCUAGAAGAUUAUCUGAUGAUUUUUGGGUGAUUUUUGGCGACCUAUCGGCUUGUAGGGUUUCUGAUGGUUUAACCUAAAGUUUUACUGCUAUCCGGUGGCUCGAUUCUCACUCAGAGGAUGUUUUGGGUGACUUUCCGACAUUCCUGACCACACUUACAGUAAGAUCUUUGACGGUUGUACCUAGGAUUUUGAACCUAGGGUUUUCUCUGUUUGCUUGAAGGCCGAUCUUCUCCGGUCGCGAAGAAGGAGGGUAACUUUUGACGGUUGUACCUAGGGUUUUCAACCUAGGGUUUUCUUUGUUUGCUUAAAGGCAGAUCUUCUCCGGUCGCGAAGAAGGAGGGUAACUCUUUUCUUAUCUUGCCUAUUGUAUGUUUUAUGUGUGAAUAUCUGGUUCUGUGUGUGAAUAUUUGGUUUUUCCUGUGAAUAUCUGGUGCGAUUAUGGCUUCCAAUACCAAUACUGGUGUUUCUGCUUCGAUAGAUUCUACCAUUCCCCUCUUUGUAUAUUCUUCUGAUGUUCCUGGUGUGUCCCUUGUUCCCACUCCCUUCUCUGGUACUAGUUAUGGGGGCUGGAGACGUAAAAUGAUUGUUGCCUUAUAUGCU
rnacentral:lncRNA from 1 species